AUUGCAGGUUGCAUGCAUCACGAUAAAAACAUUGUUCUUAGUUUUUUCGCUGGUGAAACACAAGGACGACUUCCCGGCCCCCAUUGCACCGUCUUGCUAAAUAGACACUAGCUAGCUAGCUUAAUUCCAUGCCCUUUUCUUCUCAGAUUUUAUUUCUUUUGCUUGAUAGAAGGGGCAUGGUCAAUGUUUACAGGCGAAAGCAGCCACAUGCAAACGGAUGUUUUUCCUUCCAUGCCUUUCGAAAUCAAGCAAAGCGACAAUGCAUACGAGUUAAAAGAAAAGGGUGUUGUCGUCGGUUGC
rnacentral:lncRNA from 1 species